GUGCCAGCAGCCGCGGUAAGACGAACCGUGCGAACGUUAUUCGGAAUCACUGGGCUUAAAGCGCGUGUAGGCGGGCGGGUACGUCGGCCACUGAAAGCCCCCGGCUCAACCGGGGAAGUGGUGCCGAAACGGCCGGCCUGGAGGGGCGUAGGGGGACCUGGAACUUCCGGUGGAGCGGUGAAAUGCGUUGAGAUCGGAAGGAACGCCCGUGGCGAAAGCGAGGUCCUGGACGCCAUCUGACGCUGAGACGCGAAAGCCAGGGGAGCGAACGGGAUUAGAUACCCCGGUAGUCC
rnacentral:rRNA from 1 species